UACGUAGGUGGCAAGCGUUGUCCGGAUUUAUUGGGUUUAAAGGGUGCGUAGGCGGCCCCGUAAGUCAGUGCUGAAAUAUCCCGGCUUAACCGGGAGGGUGGCAUUGAUACUGCAGGGCUUGAGUAAAGUUGAGGUAGGCGGAAUUGACGGUGUAGCGGUGAAAUGCUUAGAUAUCGUCAAGAACACCGAUAGUGUAGACAGCUUACUAAGCUUUAACUGACGCUGAGGCACGAAAGCGUGGGGAGCAAACAGG
rnacentral:rRNA from 1 species